UACGUAGGGGGCGAGCGUUGUCCGGAAUUAUUGGGCGUAAAGAGCGCGUAGGCGGUCCGAUAAGUCGGCUGUGAAAGUCAGGGGCUCAACCCUUGAAAGCCGGCCGAUACUGCCGGGCUAGAGUCCGGAAGAGGCGAGUGGAACUCCUGGUGUAGCGGUGGAAUGCGCAGAUAUCAGGAAGAACACCGACGGCGAAGGCAGCUCGCUGGGACGGUACUGACGCUGAGGCGCGAAAGCGUGGGGAGCGAACAGG
rnacentral:rRNA from 1 species